rnacentral:rRNA from 1 species
AUUGAACGCUAGCGGCAUGCUUUACACAUGCAAGUCGAGCGCGUCGCGGAAGUGUUUCUAAUAUAUCGGAACGUGCCCUGGAGCGGGGGUUAACUAAUCGAAAGUGUGGCUAAUACCGCACCGUAUUGGCGCGGCCGGUAUCGGUUUAGCUAGUUGGUAGGGUAAAGGCUGACCAAGGCAACGAUCCGUAGCUGGUUUGAGAGGACGACCAGCCACACUGGGACUGAGACACGGCCCAGACUCCUACGGGAGGCAGCAGUGGGGAAUUGUGGACAAUGGGGGAAACCCUGAUCCAGCCAUCCCGCGUGUAUGAGAAGGCCUUCGGGUGGUAAAGUACUUUUGGCAGAGAAGCGGUAUCUGCAGAAUAAGCACCGGCUAACUACGUGCCAGCAGCCGCGGUAAUAC